GAUGAACGCUAGCGGCAGGCCUAACACAUGCAAGUCGAGGGGCAGCACAGGUAGCAAUACUGGGUGGCGACCGGCGGAUGGGUGCGUAACGCGUAUGCAACCUACCAUUGAUUGGGGCAUAGCCCGAAGAAAUUCGGAUUAAUACUCCAUAAUAUUCAUCAAAGGCAUCUUUUAUGAAUUAAAGCUUUUGCGAUCAAUGAUGGGCAUGCGUGACAUUAGUUAGUUGGUGAGGUAACGGCUCACCAAAACGAUGAUGUCUAGGGGUUCUGAGAGGAUUAUCCCCCAACUGGUACUGAGACACGGACCAGACUCCUACGGGAGGCAGCAGUGAGGAAUAUUGGUCAAUGGACGCAAGUCUGAACCAGCCAUGCCGCGUGCAGGAUGACGGCCCUAGGGUUGUAAACUGCUUUCCACGGGAAGAACCCUCCGACGUGUCGGAGACUGACGGUACCGUGGGAAUAAGCAUCGGCUAACUCCGUGCC
rnacentral:rRNA from 1 species